rnacentral:rRNA from 1 species
AGUGAACGCUGGCGGUAGGCCUAACACAUGCAAGUCGAACGGCAGCACAGUAAGAGCUUGCUCUUACGGGUGGCGAGUGGCGGACGGGUGAGGAAUACAUCGGAAUCUACUUUUUCGUGGGGGAUAACGUAGGGAAACUUACGCUAAUACCGCAUACGACCUACGGGUGGAAGCAGGGGAUCUUCGGACCUUGCGCGAUUGAAUGAGCCGAUGUCGGAUUAGCUAGUUGGCGGGGUAAAGGCCCACCAAGGCGACGAUCCGUAGCUGGUCUGAGAGGAUGAUCAGCCACACUGGAACUGAGACACGGUCCAGACCCCUAAGGGAGGCAGCAGUGGGGAAUAUUGGACAAGGGGCGAAAGCCUGAUCCAGCCAUACCGCGUGGGUGAAGAAGGCCUUCGGGUUGUAAAGCCCUUUUGUUGGGAAAGAAAAGCAGCAGGUUAAUACCCCGCUGUUCUGACGGUACCCAAAGAAUAAGCACCGGCUAACUUCG